UGGGGGAUAUUGCACAAUGGGCGAAAGCCUGAUGCAGCGACGCCGCGUGGGGGAUGAAGGCUUUCGGGUUGUAAACCUCUUUCGCUAUCGAACAAGGCCCGCUUAGGGUGGGUUGAGGGUAGGUGGAGAAGAAGCGCCGGCUAACUACGUGCCAGCAGCCGCGGUAAUACGUAGGGCGCGAGCGUUUUCCGGAAUUAUUGGGCGUAAAGGGCUUGUAGGCGGCUUGUUGCGCCUGCUGUGAAAACGCGGGGCUUAACUUCGCGCGUGCAGUGGGUACGGGCAGGCUUGAGUGUGGUAGGGGUGACUGGAAUUCCAGGUGUAGCGGUGGAAUGCGCAGAUAUCUGGAGGAACGCCGAUGGCGAAGGCAGGUCACUGGGCCAUUACUGACGCUGAGGAGCGAAAGCAUGGGUAGCGAACAGG
rnacentral:rRNA from 1 species